UGGGGAAUUUUGGACAAUGGGCGAAAGCCUGAUCCAGCAAUGCCGCGUGUGUGAAGAAGGCCUUCGGGUUGUAAAGCACUUUUGUCCGGAAAGAAAUCCUUGGCUCUAAUACAGUCGGGGGAUGACGGUACCGGAAGAAUAAGCACCGGCUAACUACGUGCCAGCAGCCGCGGUAAUACGUAGGGUGCAAGCGUUAAUCGGAAUUACUGGGCGUAAAGCGUGCGCAGGCGGUUUGCUAAGACCGAUGUGAAAUCCCCGGGCUCAACCUAGGAACUGCAUUGGUGACUGGCAGGCUAGAGUAUGGCAGAGGGGGGUAGAAUUCCACGUGUAGCAGUGAAAUGCGUAGAGAUGUGGAGGAAUACCGAUGGCGAAGGCAGCCCCCUGGGCCAAUACUGACGCUCAUGCACGAAAGCGUGGGGAGCAAACAGGAUUAGAUACCCUGGUAGUCCACGCCCUAAACGAUGUCAACUAGUUGUUGGGGAUUCAUUUCCUUAGUAACGUAGCUAACGCGUGAAGUUGACCGCCUGGGGAGUACGGUCGCAAGAUUAAAACUUAAUGAAUUGACGGGGUCAUAGCUGUUUCCU
rnacentral:rRNA from 1 species